CUUCGCUUAUUUCAUUCAGCUUUAUUCAGAAUCUUGGAUGGUUUGUGAAGUUGCUUUCAUACAAUGGAGGCUUGGAACUACAUCAAAAUAUGAUGGGAGAUUCUGUUCCUCUUUUAUGAUGAUUUUGACUCGGAGAGGCUGAAAGAAGUUAUUGAACAGAUCACGAGCUGUAGCUUCUUG